GGACUACAAGGGUAUCUAAUCCUGUUUGCUCCCCACGCUUUCGUGUCUCAGCGUCAGUAUCUGUCCAGUUGGCCGCCUUCGCCACCGGUGUUCCUCUCGAUAUCUACGAAUUUCACCUCUACACCGAGAAUUCCACCAACCUCUCCAGUACUCAAGCCAAGCAGUUUCGAGUGCACUUCCUGGGUUGAGCCCAGGGCUUUCACACCCGACUUAUCUGGCCGCCUACACACGCUUUACGCCCAGUAAUUCCGAACAACGUUUGCACCCUCUGUCUUACCGCGGCGGCUGGCAC
rnacentral:rRNA from 1 species